AAAAGGCCAUGCAUAUUCUACGUCUUACCUACCCACUGUAGUGAGUUGCCGCCUUCCCUGCUAUGCAUGUGCUGUGUUACUCUGCAGUUCCUCCUACUGUCCCACAAGGUUGGAACCUAGUUUUUAUUACUGCUAUGUUCUCUUUUGUCAGCAACACUAAUUUGAACAAUAGCGUUGUCUUAUACUUGAAUGACUUUGGACAAACCAUUUUACUUCUGAGCUCAACUAUUUUCGUCUACAAGCUGCGGCUGGCCUCAAACUCAAAUUGAUAGUGAAAGAUGCCCUUGAACUUCCCGUCCUCCAGUCUUUGACAUAAAGAUUCAAAGCUCCCCGGCUCUGGCACCUUGCAGAAUGCUAACUCUCAGAAGUUAAUGCAUUGUUUGGAUGCUUCCUAGAGUCACCCGCAGUAGGAUGAGUUCUGUGUUUGACUUGUCUUGUUAAAAAGUGUCUCCAGGAGCUUGAAGAACACCUCCAGCAUUUGGAAACACAGAAGAGGGUGGAGAAGGUGAUAAAUUACCUUGGUAUUUGGACGGAGCCCACAAACAUACCUGAAGACCAUGAGCCGGGUUUUGUGUUGCAGAAUCAAGAUAAAGUCAUAUUUAAAGGCAUCCGACAGAUAAAGCCAACCUCUGUCCUUUGGACCCUAACUUAGAUCUCUAAGUUAUCUUUUUUUGUUGUUGUUGUUUAAUGAACGCAAGUGGCUGGUAGAGAUAAACAACUUUUGGAACGAAGUAGAAAAACAGCAAAAGAUAGUUCAUAUAAAGUGAAGAUAUUGACUUACUGAGCAAGAACCAAUGCAGAAGCAUUCCGAAGUUAGGGGACUUGGGAAACAAAGUUAGGAAGCCGCCCUUCACCGCUAUCUGGAGGGAACCUCGCUGCUUCCCCGCUGAACAGAGACGAAAAGCCGCCGCUCUUUUGGGCGGGUGUGGCCGAUAGAAACAAAAGGUUAAAACACAAAAGGCGGGGCGGAGGGCUAGGUCAGGGGAGCUCGGCAGGCUCGUGGUUCCCUUCCUAUUCAGACUGGCUGAGAUAGGCCCGGGGGUCGCC